rnacentral:rRNA from 1 species
AUUGAACGCUGGCGGCAGGCCUAACACAUGCAAGUCGAACGAGUGGCGGACGGGUGAGUAAUGUCUGGGAAACUGCCUGAUGGAGGGGGAUAACUACUGGAAACGGUAGCUAAUACCGCAUACCAUCGGAUGUUCCCAGAUGGGAUUAGCUAGUCGGGGGGGUAACGGCUCCCCUAGGCGACGGUCCCUAGCUGGUCUGAGAGGAUGACCAACCACACUGGAACGGAGACACGGUCCAGACUCCUACGGGAGGCAGCAGUGGGGAAUAUUGCACAAUGGGCGCAAGCCUGAUGCAGCCAUGCCGCGGGUAUGAAGAAGGCCUUCGGGUUGUAAAGCACGUUCAGCGGGGAGGCGUUACCCGCAGAAGAAGCACCGGCUAACUCCGUGCCAGCAGCCGCGGGAAUUC